UACGUAGGUGGCAAGCGUUGUCCGGAUUUACUGGGCGUAAAGAGCGCGCAGGCGGUCGUUCAAGUCGCGUGUGAAAGCCCCCGGCUCAACUGGGGAGGGUCACGCGAUACUGAUCGACUCGAAGGCAGGAGAGGGUAGUGGAAUUCCCGGAGUAGUGGUGAAAUGCGUAGAUAUCGGGAGGAACACCAGUGGCGAAGGCGCUCUACUGGGCCACAACUGACGCUGAGGGACGAAAGCUAGGGGAGCGAUCCGG
rnacentral:rRNA from 1 species